rnacentral:ncRNA from 1 species
AAAGGUUUGGUCCUGGCCUUUUUAUUGUUUCGUAGCAAGUUUACACAUGCAAGACUCCCCCCUCCAGUGAGAAUGCCCUUAAUAUCAGUACAGAUCAAGAGGAGCAGGUAUUAAGCACACUAUCAGUAGCUCAAGAUGCCUUGCUUAACCACACCCCCAAGGGAUACAGCAGUGAUAAAAAUUUAGCAAUGAACGUAAGUUUGACUAAGCUAUGCUACUCCAGGGUUGGUAAAUUUCGUGCCAGCCACCGCGGUCAUACGAUUAACCCAAACUAAUAAAUAUCCGGCGUAAAGCGUGAUUAGAGCAUAAAACAAAAAUAAAAUCAAAUAACAACUAAGCUGUAAAAAGUAAUAGUUAUAAACAAAAAUAAACGACGAAAGUGAUUUUAUAGUUUUCGAACUCACGAUAGCUAAGAUCCAAACUGGGAUUAGAUACCCCACUAUGCUUAGCCUUAAACCUAAAUAAUUUCAUAACAAAAUUAUUCGCCAGAGAACUACAAGCCAGAGCUUAAAACUCAAAGGACUUGGCGGUGCUUUAUACCCGCCUAGAGGAGCCUGUUCUAUAAUCGAUAAACCCCGAUAAACCUUACCACUCUUUGCCAACUCAGCCUAUAUACCGCCAUCUUCAGCAAACCCUAAAAAGGAGCAGAAGUAAGCUCAAUCAUCACCAUAAAAACGUUAGGUCAAGGUGUAGCCUAUAGAGUGGAAAGUAAUGGGCUACAUUUUCUACUUCAGAACACACGAAAGCCCCUAUGAAAUACUAGAGACCAAAGGAGGAUUUAGCAGUAAAUUAAGAAUAGAGUGCUUAAUUGAACGAGGCCAUGAAGCACGCA